UAAAAGCCUGGUCCUGACUUUAAUAUCAAUUAUGGUCUGAAUUACACAUGCAAGUAACCGCAACCCUGUGAGAAUGCCCACCAUCCCCCUAACCGGGGAAGAGGAGCCGGCAUCAGGCACACUUAAAAGUAGCCCAAAACGCCUUGCUUAGCCACACCCCCAAGGGAACUCAGCAGUGAUAAACAUUAAGCCAUGAGCGAAAGCUCGACUUAAUCAAGACCAAACAGAGCCGGUAAAACUCGUGCCAGCCACCGCGGUUAUACGAGAGGCUCAAAUUGAUAUUCUUCGGCGUAAAGCGUGAUUAGAGAAAAAUAAAAACUAAGGCCAAACAUCCCCCAAGCUGUCAUACGCUAACAGAGACACGAGGCCCUACAACGAAAGUGCCCUUAAAAAAUACUUGAACUCACGACUAUUGAGAAACAAACUGGGAUUAGAUACCCCACUAUGCUUAAUUGUAAACAACGAUGAUAAAAUACAGACAUCAUCCGCCAGGGGACUACGAGCAUUAGCUUAAAACCCAAAGGACUUGGCGGUGCCUCAAACCCACCUAGAGGAGCCUGUUCUAUAACCGAUAACCCCCGUUCAACCUCACCAUCCCUUGCCAACCCAGCCUAUAUACCGCCGUCGCCAGCUUACCUCAUGAGAGACCAAUAGUAAGCCAAAUGGGUAGUACCCAAAACGUCAGGUCGAGGUGUAGCAAAUGAGAUGGGAAGAAAUGGGCUACAUUUUCUGAUACCAGAAUAUAACGAAAAGUGCCAUGAAAAAGCACAACUGAAGGUGGAUUUAGCAGUAAAAAGAAAAUAGAGUGUUCUUUUGAAAACGGCCCUGAGGCGCGUACACACCGCCCGUCACUCUCCUCGAAACAACAAAAAAAAUUAAUAAAUACCUAAAUAACCAAAGAGGAGGCAAGUCGUAACAUGGUAAGUGUACCGGAAGGUGCACUUGGAAAAAU
rnacentral:ncRNA from 1 species